rnacentral:rRNA from 1 species
AAAGGAAUAGACGGGGGCCCGCACAAGCGGAGGAACAUGUGGUUUAAUUCGAUGAUACGCGAGGAACCUUACCCGGGCUUGAAAUGCAGAGGAAUGUUUGGGAAACCUUACAGCCAGUAAUGGUCUCUGUGUAGGUGCUGCAUGGUUGUCGUCAGCUCGUGCCGUGAGGUGUCGGCUUAAGUGCCAUAACGAGCGCAACCCUUAUCGUUAGUUACUAACAGAUUUAGCUGAGGACUCUAACGAGACUGCCACCGUAAGGUGCGAGGAAGGUGGGGAUGACGUCAAAUCAGCACGGCCCUUACGUCCGGGGCGACACACGUGUUACAAUGGGAGGUACAGAAGGCAGCUACCUGGCGACAGGAUGCCAAUCUUAUAAAACCUCUCCCAGUUCGGAUCGGAGUCUGCAACCCGACUCCGUGAAGCUGGAUUCGCUAGUAAUCGCGCAUCAGCCAUGGCGCGGUGAAUACGUUCCCGGGCCUUGUACACACCGCCCGU